GACGAACGCUGGCGGCGUGCUUAACACAUGCAAGUCGAACGGAAAGGCCCUGCUUUUGUGGGGUGCUCGAGUGGCGAACGGGUGAGUAACACGUGAGUAACCUGCCCUUGACUUUGGGAUAACUUCAGGAAACUGGGGCUAAUACCGGAUAGGAGCUCCUGCUGCAUGGUGGGGGUUGGAAAGUUUCGGCGGUUGGGGGUGGACUCGCGGCUUAUCAGCUUGUUGGUGGGGUAGUGGCUUACCGAGGCUUUGACGGGUAGCCGGCCUGAGAGGGUGAACGGGCACAUUGGGACUGAGAUCCGGCCCAGACAGCUACGAGAGGCAGCGGUGGGGAAGAGUGCACAAGGGGCGGAAGCGUGAUGCAGCAACGCCGCGGGCGGGAUGACGGCAUUCGGGUUGUAAACCGCUUUCGCCUGUGACGAAGCGUGAGUGACGGUAAUGGGUAAAGAAGCACCGCCUAACUACGU
rnacentral:rRNA from 1 species